UCAGUUUGCCUGAGGAGACCAAAGAGACUCUGAUUUGACCGUGUAAAAACUUUAUGUUGUCCUCAAAUAAGCAACAAAUUGAUGAAUCGUUGUACCCCUGGAGGCCUGAGCAGAAGUCCGAACCCCAAUCCUUUUCUGAUGAGGGCUGAGGAUCCAGCUAGGGGCACAUGCAGAAGAUGAGGACUGUACUUUUAAAACCUGAUCUUGUGGAACUGGAGGUGGAGCCCCUGAUAGUUCUCUU